AUGACGUCGGUGGGCACUAACCGAGCCGGGGGAACUGGGAACUACCUCAGAACCAAAACCAGACACAGCCCAAGCAGCGGCCACAGACCACUACAGAGCAAAUUCGACUUGCACAGGUGAUUUCGGAUCAUAAUGAUGCUGACUUUGAGGAGAAGGUGAAACGAUUGAUAUCACAGGCAAAAACUAGGACGCAUGUGUGAUUGCUUUGCAAUGGAGAUGUCAACUGAGCUAUCAAUGUUCUCCUGGAAGGAAAUCCAGACAUGCAUUCCUGGGAGAUGUUUGGGAAGAAGAAAGGAGUCUCAGGACAGAAGGAUGGUGGACAAAUGGAAUCUAAUGAAGAAGGAAAAGAAAACUGAGACCAGGUCAGAGACUAUAGUCGGUGACGUGGUGGGCCACCAAGAUGGGGGUGUGGGGUAGGUGCCAGCCAUGAAUGAGAGUUUCAGGGCCAGGAAAAUGGAUUGGGUGGCACUAAAAGUGGAGGGCCUUCUGGAAGAGGCACAGACAGAGGCAGAAGAGGCCAUGGUAGGUCUGGUAGGCGAGGAGGAAGGUUUUUUGCUCAAGAAAUGGGAACCUGUAGCCCAGCUGACUAUGCAGAGCCAGCCAACACUGAUAACUAUGGCAAAGCAGUGGCCAUACAUGGAACAACACUGGCCCCUCUGAACCAGACUUGAUUUCAUUGGGGUUGAGGGGUCAAAUUAUCCCCGAAAAUGUGAGAUUGCUCCUGGUGCAUGGAGGACGGCAACAGAAGACUGGGGAACUGAAGACUGGAAUGAGGAUCUUUCUGAGACCAAGAUCUUUACCGCCUCUAAUGUGUCUUCAGUGCCUCUGCCUGCGGAGAAUGUGACAAUCACGGCUGGUCAGGGAACUGACCUUGCUCUUCUGUUGGGGAAGACACCAUCUUCAAUGGAAAAUGAUUCAUCUAAUCUGGAUCCAUCUUAGGCUCCUUCCCUGGCUCAGCCUCUGGUGUUUAGUAAUUCGAAGCAGAAUGCCGUAUCACAGCCUGCUUCAGGGAGUACAUUUUCUCGCCAUAGCAUGGUGAGCAUGGAGGGGAAAGGAUUUGGUGAUGUUGUGGAAGCUAAAAGUGGCCGUACAACAGGCUCCCAGUUCUUGGAGCAAUUCAAGACUGUGCAGGCCCUUGCUCAACUGGCAGCUCAACAUUCUCAAUCUACCACCUCCUCUUGGGAUAUGGGUUCAACAACACAAUCUCCAUCACUGGUGCAGUAUGACUUGAAGAGUGCAGAUGAUUCGACAGUGCACAGUCCUUUUACAAAGUGCCAGGCAUUCACCACAUCUUCAACCAUGAUGGCGGUAUCCCUUCAGGAGAAGCUACCCUCAGUGGCUCCCUCCACAGCUGCACCACCUCCCCCCUCUUCUCUUCUGCCAAGCAAAUCCACCUCAGCUCCACAGAUGUCUCUGGGGUCUUCAGACAACCAGUCCUUGAGCCCUCAGCCGGCUCAGCAGAAACUGAAACAGCAAAAGAAGAAAACCUUCCUGACAUCCAAGAUUCCUGCUCUGGCUGUGGAGAUGCCUGGCUCAGCAGAUAGCUCAGGGCUAAAUCUGCAGUUUGGGUCAGAGCCUGUCCUUUCUGAUUAUGAGUCCACCCCCACCACGAGCGUCUCCUCAAGCCAGGCUCCUAGUAGCCUGUAUACCAGCACAGCCAGUGAGUCUUUAUCUACAGUUUCAUCUAUUCGGAGUCAGGAGUCUGGUUAUCAGAGUGGCCCGAUUCAGUUGACAACUUACACCUCCCAAAAUAACGCUCAGGGCCCUGAAUAUGAACAGAGAUCCACACAGACAUGGCAGUAUCCCAGCUCCAUCUCUUCAUCACCCCAAAAGGACCUGACUCAGGCUAAGAAUGGUUUCAGCUCUGUGCAGGUCAUGCAGUUAGACCUUGCAAGCUGUUGAAGGGGCUACAAGCUCUGCAGUGAAAUCUGAAUCACCUUCCACUUCCAGUUUCCCCUCUCUCAGUGAAACAGUACCUGCAGCUUCCUCACUGACAACAGCCAAUCAGCAAUCAUGCUCCUUAAGUGACUUGAGCUGCUUAAGGAGACUCCAAAUAACACUACCACACAACAUAGCAGUGUAUCAUCUACACAGCAGAAUGCCCUUUCAUCAUCAGCAUCUUCUGGGCAUGCUUUGACAUCCACUCUUGCAUACAAGUGUGGAGAGGGAGGUAAAUCUACGUUUUUCCUCCAGCACUUUCUCUACCACUGUCUUUGCAGUGGUACUGUCUGCAGGCACUGUCUUUGCACCUCCCCCACUGGUCAGUGUCUCCUCCAGUCUGAAUGGUGGCAGCUGUCUGGGCCUUAGCCUGGGCAGCAACUCUACUGUCACAGCCUCAACUUGAAGCUCAGUUGCUACAACUUCAGGAAAAGCUCCUCCCGACCUUCCCCCUGGAGUCCCGUCAUUGUUGCCUAAUCCAUAUAUCAUGGCUCCGGCCGGCCGGGGCUGUUGCAUGCCUACCCGCCACAAGUGUGUGGUUAUGUUGAUUUACAGAUGCUCCAGACAGGAUUCCCAUUGGAUUACUACAGUAGUCCGUUUCUCACACCCACCACUCCACUUACUGGAAGGGAUGGUAGCCUGGCUAGCCACCCUUACUCUGGCGACCUCACCAAAUUUGGCUGUGGGGAUGCUUCCUCCCCACUCCAGCCACAACCUUGGUCCAACCCCAACAGAACCAGACGCAGACUCAUCACACCACACAGCAGACAUUCCUGAACCCGGCGCUGCCUCUUGGCUAUAGGUACGCCAGCCUGCCAUACUACACAGGGGUCCCGGGCCUCCCCAGCACCUUCCAGUAUGGGCCUGCUGUGUUCCCUGUGGCUCCUACCUCUUCCAAGAGCAUGGUGUGAAUGUCAGUGUGAAUGCCUUGGCUACCCCUUUCCAACAGCCAAGUGGAUAUGGGUCUCAUGGACACAACACUGGUCUAUCAGUCACCUCUAAUAACAUGAGCAUGCCAGAUAUCUCGGGUUCUGUGUACUCCAAAACCCAGUCUUUGAGAAACAAGAGUUUCAUUCCGGUACUCCUGCUGCCUCCUUCAACUUGCCUUCAGUCCUAGGAAGUGGAGGGCCCAUCAAUCCAGCCACAGCUGCUACCUACCCACCUGCCCCCUUUAUGCAUAUUCUGACCCCACAUCAGCAACCACACUCUCAGAUCCUUCACCAUCACCUGUAGCAGAAUGGCCAGAUGGGCAGUGGGCAACGUAGCCAGACCAGCUCCAUCCUGCAGAAGCCCCAGACCACCAACAAGUCUGCCUACAACAGCUACAGCUGGGGGGUCAACUUAGGACCUGACCCUCUUCUCCUAUCCCAUCUUCUGAGAGGGCUUCUCAGGUUUAAACUAUGGAAACAGCAUCAAAGAGAGAAAAGAAUUUAG